AUAGACCACCAGGCUGAGUAUCCUGACCUGAGUCAUCCCCAGGGAUCAGGAGCCUCCAGCAGGGAACCUUCCAUUAUAUUCUUCAAGCAACUUACAGCUGCACCGACAGUUGCGAUGAAAGUUCUAAUCUCUUCCCUCCUCCUGUUGCUGCCACUAAUGCUGAUGUCCAUGGUCUCUAGCAGCCUGAAUCCAGGGGUCGCCAGAGGCCACAGGGACCGAGGCCAGGCUUCUAGGAGAUGGCUCCAGGAAGGCGGCCAAGAAUGUGAGUGCAAAGCAAUGCUGUUGUUCCAGAUUGGUUCCUGAGAGCCCCGAGAAGAAAAUUCAUGACAGUGUCUGGGCUGCCAAAGAAGCAGUGCCCCUGUGAUCAUUUCAAGGGCAAUGUGAAGAAAACAAGACACCAAAGGCACCACAGAAAGCCAAACAAGCAUUCCAGAGCCUGCCAGCAAUUUCUCAAACAAUGUCAGCUAAGAAGCUUUGCUCUGCCUUUGUAGGAGCUCUGAGCGCCCACUCUUCCAAUUAAACAUUCUCAGCCAAGAAGACAGUGAGCACACCUACCAGACACUCUUCUUCUCCCACCUCACUCUCCCACUGUACCCACCCCUAAAUCAUUCCAGUGCUCUCAAAAAGCAUGUUUUUCAAGAUCAUUUUGUUUGUUGCUCUCUCUAGUGUCUUCUUCUCUCGUCAGUCUUAGCCUGUGCCCUCCCCUUACCCAGGCUUAGGCUUAAUUACCUGAAAGAUUCCAGGAAACUGUAGCUUCCUAGCUAGUGUCAUUUAACCUUAAAUGCAAUCAGGAAAGUAGCAAACAGAAGUCAAUAAAUAUUUUUAAAUGUCACAGAUCAAAAUUGUUUCCUUCAAAUGGGGUCUGCCAAUUCACAACCAGAUGACCCAUUUUACCCUAUUCACUGCAGACUGAAUCCAGAUUCUACACAUACUUAUCCCCACCAAGACCCUCACUCUGUCUCCAUUGGCCUACUUGUUCAUCUUUCACUCAUUCGACAAAUCUUUCUGAGGUAAGAGCGAGGUGGGACAAAAAAAAAAAAGCAUACCAAUGAACCAGACACGGUCUUAUUAAAGAUAAUAUAGGUUUAAAAAAAAAA